rnacentral:rRNA from 1 species
AUUGAACGCUGGCGGCAUGCCUUACACAUGCAAGUCGAACGGCAGCAUGAUCUAGCUUGCUAGAUUGAUGGCGAGUGGCGAACGGGUGAGUAAUACAUCGGAACGUGCCCUGUAGUGGGGGAUAACUAGUCGAAAGAUUAGCUAAUACCGCAUACGACCUGAGGGUGAAAGUGGGGGACCGCAAGGCCUCAUGCUAUAGGAGCGGCCGAUGUCUGAUUAGCUAGUUGGUGGGGUAAAGGCCCACCAAGGCGACGAUCAGUAGCUGGUCUGAGAGGACGAUCAGCCACACUGGGACUGAGACACGGCCCAGACUCCUACGGGAGGCAGCAGUGGGGAAUUUUGGACAAUGGGGGCAACCCUGAUCCAGCAAUGCCGCGUGUGUGAAGAAGGCCUUUCGGGUUUGUAAAAGCACUUUUGUCCGGAAAGAAAUCGCACUUACUAAUAUUAGGUGUGGAUGACGGUACCGGAAGAAUAAGGA